AGCGAACGCUGGCGGCAGGCUUAACACAUGCAAGUCGAACGCCCCGCAAGGGGAGUGGCAGACGGGUGAAUAACACGUGGGAACGUACCCUUUGGUUCGGAAUAACUUGGGGAAACUCAAGCUAAUACCGGAUAAGCCCUAAGGGGGAAAGGUUUACUGCAGAAGGAUCGGCCCGCGUCUGAUUAGCUAGUUGGUGAGGGAAUGGCUCACCAAGGCGACGAUCAGUAGCUGGUCUGAGAGGAAGAUCAGCCACACUGGGACUGAGACACGGCCCAGACUCCUACGGGAGGCAGCAGUGGGGAAUAUUGGACAAUGGGGGCAACCCUGAUCCAGCCAUGCCGCGUGAGUGAUGAAGGCCUUAGGGUUGUAAAGCUCUUUUACCCGGGACGAUAAUGGCUGUACCGGGAGAAUAAGCCCCGGCUAACUUCGUGCCAGCCGCCGCGGUAA
rnacentral:rRNA from 1 species